rnacentral:rRNA from 1 species
CCCUACGGGGGGCAGCAGUGGGGGAUAUUGCACAAUGGGGGGAACCCUGAUGCGGCGACGCCGCGUGGGUGAAGAAGCGCCUCGGCGCGUAAAGCCCUGUCAGCAGGGAAGAAAAUGACGGUACCUGAAGAAGAAGCCCCGGCUAACUACGUGCCAGCAGCCGCGGUAAUACGUAGGGGGCAAGCGUUAUCCGGAUUUACUGGGUGUAAAGGGAGCGUAGACGGUUGUACAAGUCUGAUGUGAAAGCCCACGGCUCAACUGUGGGAGUGCAUUGGAAACUGUAGAACUAGAGUAUCGGAGAGGCA